GACGAACCGUGCAAACGUUAUUCGGAAUCACUGGGCAUAAAGGGCGCGUAGGCGGCUUUCUAAGUCAGGGGUGAAAUCCGGCAGCUCAACUGUCGCAGUGCCUUUGAUACUGGAGAGCUCGAGGGAGGUAGGGGUCUGUGGAACUUCCGGUGGAGCGGUGAAAUGCGUUGAUAUCGAUAGGAACUCCGGUGGCGAAGGCGGCACACUGGACCACCACUGACGCUGAUGCGCGAAAGCCAGGGGAGCAAACGGG
rnacentral:rRNA from 1 species